GAUGAACGCUGGCGGCGUGCCUAAUACAUGCAAGUCGAGCGAACAGACGAGGAGCUUGCUCCUCUGACGUUAGCGGCGGACGGGUGAGUAACACGUGGAUAACCUCCCUAUAAUACUGGGAUAAUUUCGGGAAACCGGAGCUAAUACCGGAUAAUAUCUUGAACCGCGUGGUUCAAUAGCGAAAGACGGUUUUGCUGUCACUUAUAGAUGGAUCCGCGCUGCAUUAGAUAGUUGGUAAGGUAACGGCUUACCAAGGCAACGAUGCGUAGCCGACCUGUGAGGGUGGUCGCCCACACUGGAAGUGAAACACGGUCCAGACUCCUACGGUAGGGAGCAGUAGGGUAUGUUCCGCAAUGGGCGGAAGCCUGGCGGAGCGACGCCGCGCGUGAGAUGAAAGUCUCCGGUUCGUAAUACUCUGUUAUGAGGUAAGAACAAAUGUGUAAGUAACUAUGCACGGCGUGACGGUACCUAAUCAGAAAGCCACGGCUAACUACGUG
rnacentral:rRNA from 1 species